AGUCCCUCUGCCUCUCGAGAGUUCCGUCCACACAUGCUUCUAGAUGCCUCUCCUCUCCUCGCUUCAUCCACCUCAUCUCACUCCAGCGUCUUCCAUUUGACCUCGGUGCCUUCUCCUCUUGCUUGUGGCCACAGUCUGAGCCAUGCCGCGCGUGCGACGACCAGUAGAAACCGCUCUCGAGCGCGACGCUGCAGCAGGCACAGGCGAGGUCCCGCUCAUCCAGAUCACACCAGCCCAUCGACGACAGCAACACCUUCUCGGGCGCCGCCGCCGCGACGCAGUCCUCGCACAUGUCUCCGGCGUCCACGAGCUAGCGGUGGGUCCCGAAGAGGCUGCCGAUGCCGAGGCGGGAGCAGAGCGCGCACGGCGGCGAGAGAUCGAAGAAGCCGGCGAACCGAGCUAUGAGGAUUAGGAUUUUGGUUUUAAGGUUCUUUUUUUAGCUCGAGCAUCCUUAUAAAAAAAUUAUUUCAAUGGCUGUUUCCUUAGAGCUAGUUUGACAACUCCAUUUUCCCAAGAAAAAAUGAACUAAUUUCCCUUGAAAAAUGAAAAUCCCCCCUAUAUUAUUUCUCUAUGUGUCGCACUACAUUAUAAAUAUCAAGUAAUUGUAAUGGUGCUUCUUUCCUUUAAAUAUGCGUAUUAAUUCUUGCAGCAGUUAAGUCUACAUGCACAUUUGUGUAUCUAUUUACGUAGCGAACUGCCAAAUAUCAUGUGUGGAGCUAUUUUUACAAGUUUAUUAACCACAUUCCUUGUCAUGCGCAGGGUAAUUUUUCCCAAUCACUAUAUGCUCCUAUACUCUUCUCAAAUAUUGAUGUGGUAUGCGAGUAACAAAACUUCUUCUCAAUAUAAAUAGGUUUGGUAGUGUGGCCUUACUGUUACGUUACUUUCCUUCUUUUAAAAAAAUUAAAUGUAACUACAAGAUAUUGACCAUGGAUAUCUAUUGUUUGUAGCAUGAUAUAUAUUUCGAAUGUGUGUUAAUCAUGGCCAGGUCGCACAAUGUGUCAUGCUAUAUAGUAAAUAUCAAAUAAUUGCAAUUGAGCUUCUUUUCUGUGAAUAAAAUUCAGCUCAACAUAAAUAGGUUUAGUAGUGUGUGUUUACUGUUAAUAUUUUCAUGACAUUUGUUAUUAACAACUUUGGAACUAAGUUGAUUAUAUCUAUACUCAUACUUUUAUUAUUUCCCUUUACAUCGAUAAUUUGUACAUGUGUGUGCUUAUUCAUUUUCACAUAUCCUGAUUUGAGUUUUUUUCUCCUCAACAGGUGAGUUGUAGGUACUAUCUGUCUAUUGUAUGAUAGUUACGCUUAUAAAUUCUAUAUGUGCAAUAUAUUAAUAUUGCUGCUUCGAUGUUGAUUGCUUUACAACAGUUUGCUGUUGCUCAAGCCAUUUAUUUUCUUUUCGAAAUCUGCGCUUUCAUAAAUAUUAAUAGUUGUUGGCCACUUACUGUUAGCAAAAAAAAAUUACCUAAAAUCUAAGAGCUUAGUUGAUUGUAUUAUUAACCAUACAUUUAUUGUUUCUAUUUACAUCAAGAAUUUUCACUUAUGUGUGCUUAUUGAUUUGCACAGUUGUUAGCAUGGCUUUUUUUAUUUAUCUUGCUCCCCUACAGGUGAGUUGUAUGUACUAUCUACCUGACCAACAGCAUUUACGCUUACAAAUUAUUUCUAUGUGAUCUAUUAGUAUUUCUUGUUCGAUUGCUUCACACAUCUUUGUUGUUGCUCAGGUCAUAUUUUUUUCAAUUGUAUGUUUGCAUACAGACUAAUAGCUACGCACAGUCCAUUUGUUGUUAUCAGAACAACAAAAAACUUAUAUGUGCACCGAUAUAUUUAUUAUUUGUCUUUGCAUCGAUGAUUCACGUGGAUAUACACUUAUUCAUUUUACAAUUUUCCAUAAGAUUGUUUUAUUCCUUUGCAGGUAAGCUCUAAAGCCUGUCUCUUUAAUUGACACUAUAUACAUUUAUGUAUUUUUCCAAACAAGUAUAAAGUCAUAUAGGUUACUUUGUGGUUGAUUAAUAUAUUAUGCGUGGUAAAGUAUAUAUUCUAUGCGGAGAAGUGGAAACGACCUCAUCGUUGAUUGCGGUGUUCUGGUACUCGCUGUUCUAAACUUUCUGUUGCAGUAAGAUACCCCUCCCUCCUUGAUUGUAGGUCCUCAAUUCACACAUGAGUUUAUGUUUUAGGUUGUUUUUUUCCUGGAAUACUCUAUGUCGACUAAACAAUUUUGGUUCUUUCGAUUUCCUUCAUGUGAAGUAAAGAUGUUAUACUAUGCCUUGGCUACAUGUGCCAUGUUUGACUAUUAUUAUUAUUUAAGGUAACUUAUAGUUUCUGUUUGCACUACAUUCAUCGUUGUUUACGCUUUCCUUUAUGAUUUACCUUCAAAGAUCAUAAAAUAUUUGGGCCAGAAAAAAAUGGUUAAGCUCUAGGCCAUGAAUGACCUUCAACCGUUAGGACAUAGAAUUCAGCUUAUUUUCAGGAAUGGAACUAUUUGUCUUGGUGAUAGCUGGCUUGUGUUUGCUUCCAAUAAUAAAGGUGAACAAGGUUGCAUAUUGUUUUGUUGAUAUACUUCUGUGGACUCUUUGCUUUAAGUGGUCAUCUUUGACCAUACCACAUGUCCAAAAAGGUACUUAAGCAGUGAUGGAACUAUCACAUUUGGUACACUUAAUUUUAUAGUGUUGCUUGUCUCUCUUUUAUACCUUUUUGUGGUUUUUGCGCCAUACACUCAUCUCUUUUUUACAGCUUGCCAACUAAAAUUUGUUUUUUGUUUUGCAUUUGCUUUAGGCCUAAUGAAAGGCAAAACAGUUGUCGAUGUUGUGGGAAAGUUCACCUGGUAUUUUAUUCUUUGCUCGAGCUAACAUUCAAGCUUCUUUUGUGUGUUUAUCCUUGAUCCUUUAUAAUCCUUUUAGUGAUGCAUAUGGGAAUGACUAAGUCAACAAAUAUGUGUGCAGGACCCAAUAAGACAAGAAAAAGGCAAAGAGCACAAUAGUUCUCAUAUGCCUAAUUAUUCCCUUGAUUCAUGAUUAUAGCUUUGCCUCCUGAUUUAAUGUCCCUUUCCUAUCAUUUGAGAUAUACAGGUCACCCUAAGGUAAGAGAGGUAUUUCCUUUAUUGGAGAUUACAAUUUUGCCUCAUGUUCCAUUGGAUUCUUUUUUUUGUUGUCAUCAUAUAUGUUUAGCAGGCAUAAAAGAAGAAAGACCAUUUCUUGUGGAGAUUUAUGCUGAUGACAUAAAUCCAACUACAACUAUAAAAGGGAAGCACUACAUCGGCUCUGGUGUGCUUAACUAUAUACUUGAUUCGCGAAUAUAGUUUUGUUAUUAAAUUAGUAAAAAUUCAAGCUAUAUCCUUUUGUGCUCUCUGACAUUAUGACAUUUGUUUAGCAGGUACUUCAGUGAAAAGAUUUCACCAUAUGCAGGUCCAUGUUUAUGACAAAUCAUAGUUCUCCGUUACAUUACAUCGAUAUAAUCUUCACACGAAGUCUCAACAAUAUUUGGUUGCUCACUUACACCCCACCCUAGAUUAACAUGUUCUAAUUUUUCUUUGUUAACUGCUGCAAUUGACACAUGCUAAAUGACAAUUUCUUUAUAAUGAUCCAAUUGAGUUUGUAAUUGUACAUGUUUUUGCCAAGUUUCAUCAAGUACUGCUCCAACAGAACAAGCAAUCAUGGAAUAUUGAGCUAAGGUACUGGAGUCUCAAGAAAAGGUCUAGGAAUCCUAAGAAUGGAUAGAUAACGAUGCUUAAAUAUGGAUGACAUCAUUUAUGUCUUCAUAACCAUCUACAGGCAGGUGGUAGUGUUUUUUGACGUUCAUUCAUGGGGCCCACCUUUCUAAUGUGUAAGUAGAUAACUACAUUGAUCUUAAUCUGAGUUGUGUGUUGAUGGUCGAUGUAGUAAAGAAGGGACACUUAGACAUUGUUGUUCAUGGAUUUAUGUACUGCCAACAAACCUUCACUUCUGAUUCUUAUAGGCGGUGCCUGGUUCUAAUGACUUGCAUGUAUUUUAUGCAUUGACUACAUGAUAAGAACCGUGCACGUUGUUGAUGACCCAA